rnacentral:rRNA from 1 species
UACAGAGGGUGCGAGCGUUGUCCGGAAUCACUGGGCGUAAAGGGCGCGUAGGUGGCGGCCCAAGUCCGUGGUGAAAGCUCGCCGCUUAACGGCGAGUCGGCCACGGAGACUGGGUGGCUCGAGCACUGUAGGGGCUAAUGGAAUUCCGGGUGUAGCGGUGGAAUGCGUAGAGAUCCGGAAGAACACCAGUGGCGAAGGCGGUUAGCUGGGCAGUUGCUGACACUGAUGCGCGACAGCGUGGGGAGCAAACAGGAUUAGAACCCUAGUAGUCC